rnacentral:rRNA from 1 species
GGCCAGACUCCUACGGGAGGCAGCAGUGGGGGAUAUUGCACAAUGGGGGAAACCCUGAUGCAGCAACGCCGCGUGAGGGAAGACGGUUUUCGGAUUGUAAACCUCUGUCAUCGGUGACGAAAAGGACGGUAGCCGAUGAGGAAGCUCCGGCUAACUACGUGCCAGCAGCCGCGGUAAUACGUAGGUGGCAAGCGUUAUCCGGAUUUACUGGGUGUAAAGGGAGCGUAGACGGCAGCGCAAGUCUGAAGUGAAAUCCCAUGGCUUAACCAUGGAACUGCUUUGGAAACUGUGCAGCUGGAGUGCAGGAGAGGUAAGCGGAAUUCCUAGUGUAGCGGUGAAAUGCGUAGAUAUUAGGAGGAACACCAGUGGCGAAGGCGGCUUACUGGACUGUAACUGACGUUGAGGCUCGAAAGCGUGGGGAGCAAACAGGAUUAGAUACCCUGGUAAU